AUUCCAUGUGAAGAUUCUCAGACCAUAGGAAGUGUCGUAUGACACUGUAAACCAAUAUCUUCAGCUGCUUCUGACAUUGUAAACUUUGUGGUUUGGUCUGUUCCGAAAUCUCUAUUUGCAGCUGGUUUGGUUCAGCUCUGUGUGUGAUUUUAAGCGGGUCUCUGAGGGAU
rnacentral:snoRNA from 2 species